rnacentral:rRNA from 1 species
GCCUAAUACAUGCAAGUCGAACGAGACCUAGACGAAGUUUACUUUGUUCUAGUGAAAGUGGCGGACGAGCGUGUAACACGUAAGCAUCUGCCCCGUACUCAGGGAUAACACCAUGAAAGUGGUGCUAAUACCGGAUGGUCCCGCAAGGGUAAAGAUUUAUCGGUACGGGAGGAGCUUGCGGCUUAUCAGUUUGUUGGUGGGGUAAAGGCCUACCAAGACUAUGACGAGUAGCGGGUGUGAGAGCAUGACCAGCCGCGAUGGAACUGAGACACGGUCCAUACUCCUACGGGAGGCAGCAGUAAGGAAUCUUCCGCAAUGGGCGAAAGCCUGACGGAGCGACACCGCGUGGUGGAUGAAGGCCCAUGGGUCGUAAACACCUUUUCUAUGGGAAGAAGAUCUGACGGUACCAUAGGAAUAAGCCCCGGCUAAUUACGUGCCAGCAGCCGCGGUAAUACGUAAGGGGCAAGCGUUACCCGGAAUUAUUGGGCGUAAAGCGUCUGCAGGUGGAAUAAUAAGUAGGUUAUUAAAUACCGGAGCUCAACUUCGGUGCUGUAAUCUAAACUGUUAUUCUAGAGGAUAGGAGAGGUAUGCGGAAUUGUGCAAGUAGGGGUAAAAUCCGUAGAUAUGCACAGGAACACCAAAAGCGAAAGCAGCAUACUGGACUAUUCCUGACACUCAGAGACGAAAGCGUAGGUAGCAAAACGGAUUAGAUACCCGUGUAGUCUACGCCGUAAACGAUGCAUGCUCGAUGUAGGCUCCCUCGACCUGGGGUCUGUGUCUUAGGUAACCCGUUAAGCAUGCCGCCUGUGUAGUACGGCCGCAAGGCUAAAACACAAAGGAAUAGACGGGGACCCACACAAGCGGUGGAUUAUGGGGUUUAAUUCGUCAAUAAGCGAGUAACCUUACCCAGACUUGACAUCCUAUUCGUACCUUUUAGAAAUAAUUGGGUCGGUUCGGCCGGAAUAGUGACAGGCGUUGCAUGGUUGCCGUCAGCUCGUGCCUUGAGGUGUUCAGUUAAGUCCGUUAACGAGCGCAACCCUCGUCGUAUGUUGUACUUUCAUGCGAGACUGCCCGUUACAAACGGGAGGAAGGUGAGGAUGACGUCAAAUCAGCAUGACCCUUAUGUCUGGGGCUACACCCGUAAUACAAUGGUUGGUACAAACUGAAACAAAGCCGUAAGGUGAAGCGAAAACAGAAAAAACCAAUCUCAGUUCGGAUUGAAGUCUGCAACUCGACUUCAUGAAGUUGGAAUCGCUAGUAACCGUAUAUCAGUCAUGGUACGGUGAAUCUGUUCCUGGGUCUUGUACUCACCGCCCGUCAAGGCACGGGAGUUGGGGGCGCUCGAAGUCUGCAAAGUAAUUGUGGCCUAAGGUG